UGUUGACAAAUGAGAGCUGAGUCAUCAUUCGCAUGCUUAAUUCAAUGGUUUGGGUGAGAAUGGAGAUCUUGACAUUGGUCCUCCUCGCUUGACUCAUGCACAAGCAUCAGAGAUUAUGGAGAAAAUAUAGGAGGUGAUGUUCGUGGAAUUGAUAGUAUAGAUGCAAUAUGUCUCAAGCUUGAUGAACUAUCUAAAUACUCCUUGAUUAAAGAAGGCCUUGAAAGGCUUUUAAAUUUAAGGUUCCUUCAAGUGGAUAGCAAAGACUUCAAUGGAAAGACAAAGUCUCGCCUUACUCAAGUGGGUUGUUUCCUAUGUUACUAGUGCUCGAAUUUUGUUCAAAACACAUUUGGCCCACUUAUCCUUCCAGAGUUGAGAUGGCUUUCAUGGAA